GACGAACGCUGGCGGCGUGCUUAACACAUGCAAGUCGAACGGAAAGGCCCUGCUUUUGUGGGGUGCUCGAGUGGCGAACGGGUGAGUAACAAGUGAGUAGCCUGCCCUUGACUUUGGGAUAACUUCAGGAAACUGGGGCUAAUACCGGAUAGGAGCUCCUGCUGCAUGGUGGGGGUUGGAAAGUUUCGGCGGUUGGGGAUGGAUUCGCGGCUUAUCAUCUUGUUGGUGGGGUAGCGGCUUACCAAGGCUUUGACGGGUAGUCGGCCUGAGAGGGUGACCGGCCACAUUGGGACUGAGAUACGGCCCAGACUCCUACGGGAGGCAGCAGUGGGGAAUAUUGCACAAUGGGCGGAAGCCUGAUGCAGCAACGCCGCGUGCGGGAUGACGGCCUUCGGGUUGUAAACCGCUUUCGCCUGUGACGAAGCGUGAGUGACGGUAAUGUGUAAAGAAGCACCGGCUAACUACGUG
rnacentral:rRNA from 1 species